rnacentral:rRNA from 1 species
CAACAACGGGUGGAGCCUGCGGUUUAAUUGGACUCAACGCCGGACAACUCACCGGGAACGACAGCAAUAUGUAGGCCAGGCUGAAGACCUUGCCUGAAUCGCUGAGAGGAGGUGCAUGGCCGUCGCCAGUUCGUACUGUGAAGCAUCCUGUUAAGUCAGGCAACGAGCGAGACCCGUGCCCACUGUUACCAGCAUAUCCUCCGGGAUGAUGGGUACUCUGUGGGGACCGCUGAUGUUAAAUCAGAGGAAGGUGCGGGCUACGGUAGGUCAGUAUGCCCCGAAUUUCCCGGGCUACACGCGGGCUACAAUGAAUGGGACAAUGGGCCCCUACCCUGAAAAGGGUUGGUAAUCUCACAAACCCAUCCGUAGUUCGGAUUGAGGGCUGUAACUCGCCCUCAUGAAGCUGGAAUCCGUAGUAAUCGCGUUUCAAUAUAGCGCGGUGAAUACGUCCCUGCUCCUU